UGAGCAAUCUGCCCUUCUCUUCGGAAUAAGCGUGGGAAACCGCGUCUAAUGCCGAAUACGACCUCCUUUCGCAUGAUCGGAGGUGGAAAGCUCCGGCGGAGAAGGGUGAGCUCGCGGCCUAUCAGCUAGUUGGUGUGGGUAAUGGCCCACCAAGGCGACGACGGGUAGCCGGCCUGAGAGGGUGACCGGCCACACUGGGACUGAGACACGGCCCAGACUCCUACGGGAGCAGCAGG
rnacentral:rRNA from 1 species